GGACUAGUGCCUGAAUUAAAGGUUCGCUGUGAUAGAGCGACUCAUGAGGGUUAAAACCCCUCCCAGUCCU
rnacentral:tRNA from 1 species